rnacentral:rRNA from 1 species
ACUCCUACGGGAGGCAGCAGUGGGAAUAUUGCACAAUGGGGAAGCCAUCGAUGCAGCCAUGCCCGCGCUGUGUGAAGAAGGCCAAUUCGGGGCUUGGUUAAAGACACUUUUCAGUAGGGAGGAAGGUAGUGUAGUUAACACCUGCACUAUUUGACGUUACCUACAGAAGAAGCACCGGCUAACUCCGUGCCAGCAGCCGCGGUAAUACGGAGGGUGCGAGCGUUAAUCGGAAUUACUGGGCGUAAAGCGCAUGCAGGUGGUUUGUUAAGUCAGAUGUGAAAGCCCGGGGCUCAAGCCUCGGAAUAGCAUUUUGAAAACUGGCAGACUAGAGUACUUAGAGGGGNGGUAGAAUUUUCAGGUGUAGCGGUGAAAUGCGUAGAGAUCU